AGUCCGUACCCACACGCCACUGUCCCGAGGAGACGCACAUCACAUCGCUCGGCCUCCCACCCAUCGCCCACGCACGCAUCUCUCCCCCCAUCGCCCAUCGCCAACUCCUGAUCCAAUCCCUCCUCUCGGCACCCAUCGCCCCCAUCCCCAAUCCCCGACCAUCCUCUCACUAGAUCCCAAUCCCUCCUCUGUCGCCCCUAUCCCCAAUCCCUCCUCUAGCUGCGGUUCUUCGAUUCGGCAGUCGGAGAUGGCACGACGGUCGAAGAUGGCGAGGUGGCGGUCGGAGAUGGCGCGGCGGCGGUUGGAGAUGGCUACAGCGUGCAUGGCCAGAAGGCGCACACUCAAGCGGAGGGUGGCGGAAGCGGCGGCGAAAGCCGCAGCGUAAGUGGAGUCUACAGAGGACCACGUUCAGCGACAAGUAGAAUACUGGAGGCGUGGGUUUUGGGUGUCUCUCAAAGGCAAGAACAAGGAUGAAAGUAGUGUGGACUCACCACAUCCAUGUGGUGGAAGGUGACGAGGAGGCGGGUGGCAUGGUGGUGGUGUGGUUGGCGCCGACGGCAUCUACUUCACCACCGAGUUGGAGCAACAAGAUGGUAGUGACGUCUCCGAUGUGGAGCAACAUCCCGACGGCGGCGCCCCUCCCGACUCCGAGUUACAAGUGGGUGGUGGAGGGCACCGUGUGGAGCGGUGCUCGGCACUAAGGACAUCUACUUCGUCCCCAAGUCAGAGCUGCAAGGUGGUAGCGAUGUCCCUGACUUCGAAGAGCAAGUGGGUGCUGGGGUGCCUAACGGAGAGCAGCAGCUGAACAACGGCCUCUUCACCGACUUGGACGAUCAACAGAUGGAUGACGUUGAAGAGCCGAUUGAUGUAGAGGAGAUGGCCAUCCUAGGAGAUGAUGAUGACACAGUGGCUGGCGACGAGGGCAUCGACGAAUUUGCUGAAAUUCGUGAAGUCCUGACAGCAAGAAAGAAGCCUUGUGCAUAUGAUGAAAAGCGUCAACAAAGCCACUCCUCUCCCGAUCAGAGCUUGCAGGUUGAGAUCAAGUUGGAGGGCAGCAUUACCAUAUUCUUCGUCUUGCACAUCAUCUUGUCGGAGACCAUGUUCUUCACCGCACUCUUCAUCUUCUUGUAGUGCUAGGUUCAGAUCUAUGUUCAUUGUGGCCUCGUGUAUUUGUUGGGUUGUGGAUGGAUGGUGUUGAGUUCUCUCUUGAUGGAUGUUGUGGAUGGAGGAGAGUGUUUUGAUGCUUAAGUGUGCUAGCGCUAGUGAUUUUUGAGCUUGGUUUUGAUUUAUGUAAGCAGGCAAGCCAUGUGAUUUGGCACGCCUUCAGCUGUAAUAUUUGGCGCUUAGCGGUUCAAAUUUUGUUUUGUCUAUCGCUUGUGAUUAUUGAGUAGAUUUUUAAUGUGUUCACACUUUAGCCUCUAUA